rnacentral:rRNA from 1 species
AGGGCACCACCAGAUGUGGAGCCUGCGGCUUAAUUUGACUCAACACGGGAAAACUCACCUGGCCCGGACACUGUAAGGAUUGACAGAUUGAUAGCUCUUUCUUGAUUCAGUGGGUGGUGGUGCAUGGCCGUUCUUAGUUGGUGGAGUGAUUUGUCUGGUUAAUUCCGAUAACGAACGAGACUCUAGCCUGCUAAAUAGUCUGCAGCACUUCUUAGAGGGACAAGCGGCAUAUACGCCGCGAAAUUGAGCAAUAACAGGUNUGUGAUGCCCUUAGAUGUCCAGGGCUGCACGCGCGCUACACUGAAGGAAUCAACAUGCUUGUUUCCUUGUCCGAAAGGACUGGGUAACCCUUUGAAACUCCUUCGUGAUUGGGAUAGGGAAUUGCAAUUAUUUCCCUUGAACGAGGAAUAUCCAGUAAGUGUGGGUCAUAAGCUCACAUUGAUUACGUCCCUGCCCUUUGUACACACCGCCCGUCGCUACGAGGGACGGCGCCAUUUACUGAAAUUACUGGACCGAGGC